CCGUGCCAGCAGCCGCGGUAAUACGGAGGGUGCGAGCGUUAAUCGGAAUUACUGGGCGUAAAGCGCAUGCAGGUGGUUUGUUUAAGUCAGAUGUGAAAGACCCGGGGCGUCAACCUCGGAAUUGCAUUUGAAACUAGGCAGACUAGAGUACUGUAGAGGGGGGUAGGAAUUUCAGGUGUAGCGGUGAAAUAGCGUAGAGAUCUGAAGGAAUACCGGUGGCGAAGGCGGCCCCCUCGGACAGAUACUGACACUCAGAUGCGAAAGCGUGGGGAGCAAACAGGAUUAGAUACCCUGGUAG
rnacentral:rRNA from 1 species